rnacentral:rRNA from 1 species
CGCGUAGGUGGUUUGUUAAGUUGGAUGUGAAAGCCCCGGGCUCAACCUGGGAACUGCAUCCAAAACUGGCAAGCUAGAGUACGGUAGAGGGUGGUGGAAUUUCCUGUGUAGCGGUGAAAUGCGUAGAUAUAGAAAGGAACACCAGUGGCGAAGGCGACCACCUGGACUGAUACUGACACUGAGGUGCGAAAGCGUGGGGAGCAAACA